rnacentral:rRNA from 1 species
AUUGAACGCUGGCGGAAUGCUUUACACAUGCAAGUCGAGCGGCAGCGCGGGGCAACCUGGCGGCGAGCGGCGAACGGGUGAGUAAUACAUCGGAACGUGCCCAGACGUGGGGGAUAACUACUCGAAAGAGUGGCUAAUACCGCAUACGAUCUACGGAUGAAAGCGGGGGAUCGCAAGACCUCGCGCGUCUGGAGCGGCUGAUGGCAGAUUAGGUAGUUGGUGGGAUAAAAGCCUACCAAGCCAACGAUCUGUAGCUGGUCUGAGAGGAUGAUCAGCCACACUGGGACUGAGACACGGCCCAGACUCCUACGGGAGGCAGCAGUGGGGAAUUUUGGACAAUGGGCGAAAGCCUGAUCCAGCCAUGCCGCGUGGAUGAAGAAGGUCUUCGGAUUGUAAAGUCCUUUCGACGGGGACGAUGAUGACGGUACCCGUAGAAGAAGCCCCGGCUAACUUCGUGCCAGCAGCCGCGGUAAAGUGACU